AAGUGACGGUAGUGAGGAAAAUCGCAUACAUUUUCACUUUUGAUUUUUUUGCAUUUUUGGACAUCAUUCACUAACAUCUUGAACCUCACAAAAUUUCAGAUCAUAAUAAUGUCUAAUUAUGUCGCUAUGACGAUGACGUAAACAAGAAAAUGCAUAGCAAAAGGAUUUUCUGUUUUCACGAAGUGACGGCCAAGUACGCGCUUAACAGCCGUCAAUUCGUGAAAACAUCGUUUGCUCUUUUCCUGCUUUUAAUAUUUUCACGAAGUGACGGUAGUGAAAAUUUCGCAGUUUGGAACAGUCACAGACCAUGAAAAGUUUCAGAUGCAGUAGAUACAAUUUGCACUUAUAUGAAGGAAGCACUGGGAAAGUACAUCUACUUUUCAAGAAUGCCACAGGCCAGACACAAAUCCAGAUUGGAUACAGGGACCGACAGGCUGGUAAGAUGGGUCCUUGAUAAUUCACUGAACACAGAGCUGCAGAUGUGACUCGGCAUAGUGACCUAAGAGUGGGAGCGGUAUGAAACCGUUGAAGCAAUUCACCGAACACUGUUGAAGCAAUUCACCGAACACAGUCAGAGCUGCAUGUGUGACUUGGCAUGGUGACCCUUAAAGUCUCCUGACGGCUCCGAUUGCGAUUCUGAUGAGGACCCAAUGUCUAUGCUUGUGAGCGAGUCAAAAGCAGUCUAGAUCAAGAAUCUUCGCUGCUUCAACCACUAUCGCUUGGAUGACAUUAUGUGUGAAGAAACUUGAAGGACUUGUGUUGAAGGGCAUGCUUGAGAAACUAGAAUCAAUUACAUUGAUCGUUUUGGCAAUGCUUCAAUGUUUCAAUACCUCAAUCUCUCUUUUUUAUACUGUUUGAUUUUAAACAUUUUGAAUAUCAUAAAUAAAGCAAACUCCACUCAUAAUUGUAAUUGUGUGUACUAGUAAUUACAAUGAAAUGGAUUGAUUAUAAAAUCAAUGAAUUGAUUUAAAGCAAACUGGUAACAUUUUCCAUGAGUUCUGAAACAAUUAACUGAAUGGUCGUACAGGUGUCAGUUUUCUGUUACAGUAUUGUAAUGAACUCCUGCAAAC
rnacentral:lncRNA from 1 species